UUUCAUCUUCAUAAUUUUAGUAAAUAUUAUUGUUUUGUUUCAUGGAAUAGUUAUUUUGAGUAAUAAAAUAAUAAAAAUAAUUAGUAAAUAAUAUUUUUUACUAUUUUCAUCAUGUUUAUUAAUUAUUAUGUUUCAUUUAAGGCUUUAUUUUCUUCAAAAGAAAAAGGUUUGCGAUAAUAUACAGCCGAGAGAGAUCUUGCGCGAUAUGAAAAUGGCUGGCACACCGUUGGAUGAGGACUUAGUUGUAGGUCUUACUGAUAUAUUUCCUGGCCCUAAAUUGGAUAAAGGAGGGAAAACCUUAGACUUAACUGGUGUAGUUGAAAUGAUACAACGGUUGUGGCCAGAUAGAAAACUGCCACCAACACCAGAACCAGAA
rnacentral:misc_RNA from 1 species